rnacentral:tRNA from 1 species
GCCCAAAUGGCGGAAUUGGUAGACGCGCUAGCUUCAGGUGCUAGUGACCCAAGGUCGUGAAAGUUCGAGUCUUUUUUUGGGCA